AAAAAAAAAAGAAAAUUCAAAUCCAACCAACCAGAAAACUGCUCGCAUUUUUGUUUAUUCUUCUUUCUUCUAGAAAUGCUUUUAUUUCCGUUUGUUUUCUCCGU
rnacentral:ribozyme from 1 species